GUAACAAGGUUUCCGUAGGUGAACCUGCGGAAGGAUCAUUACUAAGUAUAGGAUGGCCCAUUCACGUGCCUGGUCAUUCCAGGGGCGGAAGGGGACGGCCCGCGUCGGAAUGCCAUCUGGCCGUGGCCCGGCCUCCAAUCUCUCUCUGCGUACCUUUCCCUGUUGCUUCCCCGGGAGGGCGACAUGCCACCCGGGGAAGGCCCUCCUAGAGCACAACGAUGCCGGCAAACGCACCGGUAGAACUCACCACCCAGGCCGUCCGAUGCCCGGCGCACCAAUCAGGGCGCAGGGAGCCAGGACGUGGACCGCAAACAAAUAGAAAAAAACUUUCAACAACGGAUCUCUUGGUUCCCGCAUCGAUGAAGAACGCAGCGAAAUGCGAUAAGUAAUGUGAAUUGCAGAAUUCAGUGAACCAUCGAAUCUUUGAACGCACAUUGCGCCCCUUGGCAUUCCGGGGGGCAUGCCUGUUCGAGCGUGUCCGAGAAGUAGGCUCACGCGGCGAGACGCGUGGUUGUGCUGGAGGCGGCGGUCCCGACAGGGCGGCCUUCCCGGCGGAAUCGAUGGGCGGAUGCCUGCCGCUUCGCAGAGCGUGAUAUUCUUUGCUAUCGCCUCGAGGGCGGCGAGGCGUCCAGCCCGAGCGACCAAGCACGGCGGGGGGAAUGUGACAUUCGGAACUCCUCGAAUCAGGUAGGGAUACCCGCUGAACUUAAGCAUAUCA
rnacentral:rRNA from 1 species